rnacentral:rRNA from 1 species
AUACGUAGGGGGCGAGCGUUGUCCGGAAUGAUUGGGCGUAAAGGGCGCGUAGGCGGUGCGGUAAGUCUGGAGUGAAAGUCCUGCUUUCAAGGUGGGAAUUGCUUUGGAUACUGCCGCGCUUGAGUGCAGGAGAGGUUAUCGGAAUUCCCGGUGUAGCGGUGAAAAGCGUAGAGAUCGGGAGGAACACCAGUGGCGAAGGCGGGUAACUGGACUGCAACUGACGCUGAGGCGCGAAAGUGUGGGGAGCAAACAGGAUUAGAUACCCUGGUAGUCCACACUGUAAACGAUGAAUGCUAGGUGUAAGAGGUAUCGACCCCUUUUGUGCCGGAGUCAACACAAUAAGCAUUCCGCCUGGGGAGUACGGCCGCAAGGUUGAAACUUAAAGGAAUGGACGGGG